rnacentral:lncRNA from 10 species
ACAGUGUCCCAUCAAACUUCGUAGAAGCCUUCCCCAGAGGAGUAAACUCAGUGCGCGAUCUUAAGCGCGCAUCUGUGGAAACAAUUAAAAAAAGUUUGCCAACCGCUGCUCUGUAGGGGGCAGCCACACAAAACCUCUUACAUCAUGGGCGACUUCAGGAACAGCCAUAGACAGGGUCUCUGUCACCCAGGCUGGAAUGCGACAGCACAAUCACAGCUUACUGCAGCCUCUAACUCCUGGGCUUAUGUGAUCUUCCCACCUCAGCCUCCCAAAGUAUUGAGAUUACAGCAGGCUUGGGUGCACCACACCCCUCCCAGCAAGCACUGACUCAUCGCAGACUUUUAACUAGUCCAGUGCUGGUUUCCAAGGGGUUUCUGAAGUGUCUGGUGGUUCUGGGGUAAGGGUGAGGUUCCUGGGGGGAUGGCCUAGGGCAUAGAAGGCCCAGGCCAAAUCUGUGGGCCUAGCGUAGCUUGCUGCGACUCCUUCCUGUCAGUGUCCUGGCAUCACCCUACUUUCCUGGUGCAAACUCCUAAGCCCUCCUCUUUCCCUAUGCAGCCUCCCUU